rnacentral:rRNA from 1 species
CCUUCAAGAGGGGGAUAACAUUCUGAAAAGAAUGCUAAUACCGCAUGACAUAUCGGAACCACAUGGUUCUGAUAUCAAAGAUUUUAUCGCUUGAAGAUGGACUCGCGUCCGAUUAGUUAGUUGGUGAGGUAACGGCUCACCAAGACCGCGAUCGGUAGCCGGACUGAGAGGUUGAACGGCCACAUUGGGACUGAGACACGGCCCAGACUCCUACGGGAGGCAGCAGUGGGGGAUAUUGCGCAAUGGGGGCAACCCUGACGCAGCAACGCCGCGUGAAGGAUGAAGGUUUUCGGAUUGUAAACUUCUUUUAUUAAGGACGAAAAAUGACGGUACUUAAUGAAUAAGCUCCGGCUAACUACGUGCCAGCAGCCGCGGUAAUACGUAGGGAGCAAGCGUUGUCCGGAUUUACUGGGUGUAAAGGGUGCGUAGGCGGCUUUGCAAGUCAGAUGUGAAAUCUAUGGGCUCAACCCAUAAACUGCAUUUGAAACUGUAGAGCUUGAGUGAAGUAGAGGCAGGCGGAAUUCCCCGUGUAGCGGUGAAAUGCGUAGAGAUGGGGAGGAACACCAGUGGCGAAGGCGGCCUGCUGGGCUUUAACUGACGCUGAGGCACGAAAGCGUGGGUAGCAAACAGGAUUAGAUACCCUGGUAGUCCACGCUGUAAACGAUGAUUACUAGGUGUGGGGGGUCUGACCCCUUCCGUG